UAGAGUUUGAUCAUGGCUCAGAACGAACGCUGGCGGCAGGCUUAACACAUGCAAGUCGAGCGCUCUCUUCGGAGGGAGCGGCGGACGGGUUAGUAACGCGUGGGAACAUACCCUUUGGUACGGAAUAGCCUCUGGAAACGGAGAGUAAUACCGUAUGAGCCCUUCGGGGGAAAGAUUUAUCGCCAAAGGAUUGGCCCGCGUUAGAUUAGGUAGUUGGUGGGGUAAUGGCCUACCAAGCCUACGAUCUAUAGCUGGUUUUAGAGGAUGAUCAGCAACACUGGGACUGAGACACGGCCCAGACUCCUACGGGAGGCAGCAGUGGGGAAUCUUGGACAAUGGGCGCAAGCCUGAUCCAGCCAUGCCGCGUGAGUGAUGAAGGCCUUAGGGUCGUAAAGCUCUUUCGCCUGUGAAGAUAAUGACGGUAGCAGGUAAAGAAACCCCGGCUAACUCCGUGCCAGCAGCCGCGGUAAUACGGAGGGGGUUAGCGUUGUUCGGAAUUACUGGGCGUAAAGCGCACGUAGGCGGACUGGAAAGUUGGGGGUGAAAUCCCAGGGCUCAACCCUGGAACUGCCUCCAAAACUAUCAGUCUAGAGUUCGAGAGAGGUGAGUGGAAUUCCGAGUGUAGAGGUGAAAUUCGUAGAUAUUCGGAGGAACACCAGUGGCGAAGGCGGCUCACUGGCUCGAUACUGACGCUGAGGUGCGAAAGUGUGGGGAGCAAACAGGAUUAGAUACCCUGGUAGUCCACACCGUAAACGAUGAAUGCCAGUCGUCGGGUAGCAUGCUAUUCGGUGACACACCUAACGGAUUAAGCAUUCCGCCU
rnacentral:rRNA from 1 species